rnacentral:misc_RNA from 1 species
GAUGAAGAACGUAGCGAAAUGCGAUACGUAAUGUGAAUUGCAGAAUUCAGUGAAUCAUCGAAUCUUUGAACGCAUAUUGCGCUCUCUGGUAUUCCGGAGAGCAUGCUUGUUUGAGUAUCAAUAAACACCUCAACUUCCAUAUCUUUUUUGAAAUGGGAGUUGGACUUGAGUGAUCCCAACGCUUUUCCUCACCGAAAAGUGGCGGGUUACUUGAAAUGCAGGUGCAGCUGGACUUUUCUCUGAGCUAUAAGCAUAUCUAUUUAGUCUGCCUAAAAAACAGAUUAUUACCUUUGCUGCAGCUAACAUAAAGGAGAUUAGUUCUUGUGCUGACUGAUGCAGGAUUCACAAAGACAGGCUUCGGCCGACUUUGUAAACUCGAUCUCAAAUCAAGUAAGACUACCCGCUGAACUUAAGCAUAUCAAUAAGCGGAGGA